rnacentral:rRNA from 1 species
GUUUGAUCCUGGCUCAGGACGAACGCUGGCGGCGUGCCUAACACAUGCAAGUCGAACGGAGUCCAAGAGAGCUUGCUCUCGAACGACUUAGUGGCGGACGGGUGCGUAACACGUGGAUAAUCUGCCUCGUGGCGGGGGACAACAGUCCGAAAGGACUGCUAAUACCGCAUGUCAGGUCGGAAACUCCGGUUUCUGACGAAAAAGAGGGCGCCCGCAAGGGGCUCUCACCACGAGAUGAGUCCGCGUCCCAUCAGCUAGUUGGCGGUGUAAUAGACCACCAAGGCUUAGACGGGUAGCUGGUCUGAGAGGAUGACCAGCCACACUGGGACUGAGACACGGCCCAGACUCCUACGGGAGGCAGCAGUGGGGAAUAUUGGACAAUGGGCGAAAGCCUGAUCCAGCCAUGCCGCGUGAGUGAUGAAGGCCUCGGU